AUUGAACGCUGGCGGCAUGCCUUACACAUGCAAGUCGAACGGUAACAGGUCUUCGGAUGCUGACGAGUGGCGAACGGGUGAGUAAUACAUCGGAACGUGCCUAGUAGUGGGGGAUAACUACUCGAAAGAGUGGCUAAUACCGCAUGAGAUCUACGGAUGAAAGCAGGGGAUCGCAAGACCUUGUGCUACUAGAGCGGCCGAUGGCAGAUUAGGUAGUUGGUGGGAUAAAAGCUUACCAAGCCGACGAUCUGGAGCUGGUCUGAGAGGACGAGCAGCCACACUGGGACUGAGACACGGCCCAGAAUCCUACGGGAGGCAGCAGUGGGGAAUUUUGGACAAUGGGCGAAAGCCUGAUCCAGCAAUGCCGCGUGCAGGAUGAAGGCCUUCGGGUUGUAAACUGCUUUUGUACGGAACGAAAAGCCCCGGGUUAAUACCCUGGGGUCAUGACGGUACCGUAAGAAUAAGCACCGGCUAACUACGUGCCAGCCGCCGCCGUAA
rnacentral:rRNA from 1 species